ensembl:lncRNA
CAAGGCUCUUGCCUUGAACACGCUCCCUGCUUCACCCUCAAGCCCAGUCCCGCGUGUGGGCAGUCGGCAAAUUUGGCCUCAGGCCCAGCCUUGAGGCUGCUCUUAAAAUUCAGCGUGGAUGCAGUGACAGGGUCGGCUCCGGCACCGCGCGGCCCAGGAGCGCAGCGGGCCCGGCCCGGAGACACAGCGGCCGCCAUUGCCCCAGGACUGCUGCUCGCUCCUCGCAGGGCUGCAGUCGCAGGCCAGAAGGAGCUAGACUCUUCCCGACAAAGCAAGCUGCAUGGAAGCAACGUGUUCGCUUACCCCAAACUGUGAAUCACUUCUGAAAAGGCAGACCUCUUCCUGAAGUUUUUUAAACCCAUACAAGUGUUAAAUUCACUCUGAGGUGAAGCUGGUGAGGAUGUUUGCUCUGAAUGAUUGUUCACUUUUUGCCACUUUCAAAGAAGAAUGACAAAUUUGAGAACAAGUCCUGUAGCAUUUGCUUUGACAGCUGAAUUAAAAAAGUUUGAAGGACCAUCCUGAUAUCUCUUCAAACCACCUUUGUAGAAUUUUAUCAGACAUGAUUACCAUGUGUCUUUCUAACACCAUCUCCUUAAAAUAAACAAUCAGAGACAAAGGAGGGUAAAAAGAAAACAGAAUGUUGUGUCAUUUUAAAAACCUGCAAGCUGGAACAUCAAAGAGAGUCCUUGCAUAAGAGGAAAGCUAGCAUGGAGGCACUGUAAAGAAUUAAUACACAAAGACCUGUGGGAUUAGUGCCUGGAGAUUUAGGUCUGUUCACAGCCACACUGGAGACUGUGCAGGCAGGGCAUGAGAAAAGAUCUGCCUUGAAUAUCAGAGUUUCCUGGUCAAGGGUUUUUUCAGCUUUGCUUUGCAGGAUGGGAAGGCAAAGUCAGCACAAGGAGAUCUACACUGAAACAACAGCUGAGCUACUGCCUCAACUCAAGAUGCUUUCCUCCCAGGCAGGGCUGUCACAAAGGCAGGUUUGGUUUCGUUGGGGCAGUUUGUUUUGGUUUUGGAAGGAUAUGCUUUGUCCUUGAGAUUUUUUCUUGUUGGACAACCAACAUUUGGGGCCAUGCCAUAGAUUCCAUCAAUGCGGGAGCCUGCUGCGCCUUUUCUUUCUAGGCUGAGCCCCCAGCCUGUGAGACCAGCAUGUUGUCUCUUGAUCCCUCCAAAUGAAAUUAGGAAAAUGGGCUGGCUGACUUGCAUCUGCCCUAUGCUGCAUGAAGCGGCAUUGCAGAGAGGGCGCAUUUGCAAGGAGAAGUAAUAAAUGUAAUUUCCUCCACAAAUUAACUGAGCCACACUGGCUCCAAAGGGGUCGAAGAGAGAACAAGAAAAGAGCCACUGUCUGUUAAAAUAGCAGCCCCUGACUUAUCAAAGGAAAUGGGAUAUCAGGUCAUACUUCAAAACCUAAUGACAGCAGUUCAGGAGAUUUGAUCAGACCCAUUUCCUUCGCCCAAUUUUUACGGGGCACUGGGUACCUUAGAGUGAGCACGGAGCCCUCUGUGCCUUUGACGAGAAGAUGACUAAAGGAUAGACCAAAGGGAUGGAGAGGAGGGCAAAGCAGGGCACUGGGUUGUAACCAGCUGGCUCUGUUGGUGCCUAAAGUGACCUUGUGUAGAAGCAGGAAGAAUUUCAGGUCGGCAGAAUGUAAUUACUCUGGUUGGAAAGUUGCCAAGAUUCUGGCAUUAACAUCCCCAUGGCUCUAAAAAAUGCCACAGGGCCAGAACUAUAGAUUUCUCCAUGACUAAAAAAACAGCACUGGAGAGGUAGAGGACCCUGUAAGCUUUGUGAGCAGCUUGAAUUAUUAUAUAGUGUGGGUUGCAAGAGCAGUUAGGUUUUCCAAAUAUCUCUUUUAGCUUAAAAAAACAUGGAUAAACAAAAGUAAAAUGGUGGAUAUUCCCUUCCCCUCUCCAUUCCCCCAUCCCCCACACUUUCCUCUCUCAAGCAAGAAGAAAUUCCCAUAGAACUAUAGCAAAUACAACUUGGUAAAAUAACACACAUGGAUUAUUUCUCUUCCCCUCUUCCCCCACUGUCAUUGCUUUUUGCAAAUCAAUCUCAUUCAGGACAAAGUCUAUAACAGACAGAACAAUACUCAAUUCUGGCACUAUCCUAUCACCAGAUAAAGUCUGAGGAGCUACAGUGCCCCCAACAAGACAAAGGUGAGGUUCUUUUUACUAAGCAGCUCCCUCUACUUUGUGACAGUUCAGAGGAAGCUAAACUGAGUGUCCUACCACUGGACAAAGUUUAACAGGACUUUCUGUAGCACAAAGGCAAUAACACUAUUACAGGGUAUUGAGUCCUGUUGAAUUCAUUGGCCAACAGAAACACUUUGUACAACCAGGUGUGGAGGUUUCUUAUACAGGUCUUCAAAAUCCAGGGGCCCACAUCUGGUGCCAGAGGAGAGGAAGUGACACGCUAGGACAACAGCUGUAUUGGAUUAUAUUCAUAAUUCUCAGAAAUGUACCAAAACACUUUCCAGCAUGCGAACACUUGUGUUUCAGGAUUAGUCUUGAAAAGGCAGAAUCAAAUUCUUCCCUUUCCUGGCACUCUCCCCUUGACCCACAGGGGAUCAAUCAGCUUGUGAGCUACAGACGAAUAUUUGCACACACUAAAGAUUCUUUUCAGAUACAGCAUUUGGCAGCGGCUCAUUAGAGGAAAAAAUGGCACUGAUUUAGAAAAGGAGUGGCAUUAGCUUUUCUCCUUGCAAAAGGCAAAGGAUGUAGGUUAUACAGAAAACAGACACGAAGUUCUGAGAAUGGGGGCCCAAUAGACAAGCCUGAGUGACUUUGAGAGACCUAUGGCAUGGCUGCACACUGCAUGUGCAGCCGUGCUAUGUGACAAAGUUGUGGCUAUGCACUAUGACUUCCCUUUUGGGUCAGAGCUGUGUCUCUUCAUGUGACAGUUAUACAGAAGAGCUUGAAAAAGCAAGAUGGAAUAGUCACUGUGACAACUCUCACAUCUUCCUUUUCAAAUGUUGUUUUAAAGCACAGAUUCUGAAAGAAGACAAUUAUUAAAUACUUGUAUUUUCAAAGUUUGCAUCUGUCCUUCUCUGCUAUAGAAGAAUGUAUAAAAAAUGCUGGAGGUUCAAAACAGAAGCAGCAGAACUUAAUUUUGUAAGUGUCAAAAUUUCUUGGUCUCAUGCUCUCUAGCUGGCAAGAUUGUUUGAAAGCCCUGGGGCCUUCUUCCUCAGGAGCUUGCCUGACCUGCAACAUCUAAACAAACAUGCAGGAACACAUCCUUUCAUUGCUUUCCUACAAUUUUUGCUCCUAUAAUUAUGCAUACUUUAUGAAAUCUAGCAAGAGAGGUGAAUAGACUAACUCUCCACAAGAGCUGUCUUUUUCCCAGGGAAAAGAUCUGUAAGUUUCCACAGUAUUGUUGCUCUUGGUUGUACCUAAGGGUCUAAUAAAAGUUAACCACUCCUGCACAGAUUUUUGGUGGAAGUGCAUUUGCUACUUUUUAUAACAAGAAAAAACAGAAGCAGACUGCCAAAGAAACUCACAUGACUGACUGCAUGUGAAUCACUCAGUGCUAUUUCUUGUGUACACAUCAAGUUUUUCAGUCCCAGCAUGCCCAGUCCUCAGAGAAGGGUCUCUCCCUUACUCUAUUUUGACUCACUACAAUUGCAUUUCUUCUGUAGCGUCAGCCCAAAUUGAAGCCCAAUUGUUCUGCAUGCCAGAGAGAACAGUUCCACUGCCAUUAAAAAUGGCAGUCAUGACAUGUCUCAGAUUAUGCAAGGUGAUGCCUUGAUACAGAAAAUACCCUGAGAGAAAGGUAAGUGGAAAAAAAAAAAAAA